UACGUAGGGGGCAAGCGUUGUCCGGAUUUAUUGGGCGUAAAGAGCGUGUAGGCGGCCUGACAGGUCUGCUGUGAAAACUCGAGGCUCAACCUCGAGAUGUCGGCGGAAACCGUCUGGCUAGAGUCCGGAAGAGGAGAGUGGAAUUCCUGGUGUAGCGGUGAAAUGCGCAGAUAUCAGGAGGAACACCAACAGCGAAGGCAGCACUCUGGGCCGGUACUGACGCUGAGGAGCGAAAGCGUGGGGAGCGAACAGG
rnacentral:rRNA from 1 species